GACGAACGCUGGCGGCGUGCCUAAUACAUGCAAGUAGAACGCAGUUGCGAACGGGUGAGUAACGCGUAGGUAACUGCCUCAUAGCGGGGGAUUACUAUUGGACACGAUAGCUAAUACCGCAUACUGUGAGAUGGACCUGCGUUGUAUUAGCUAGUUGGUGAGGUAAAGGCUCACCAAGGCGGCGAUACAUAGCCGACCUGCGAGGGGGAGCGGCCACUGGGGGUCUUAGACACGUCCCAGCCGACUACGGUAGGCAUACGUAGGUACUCUACGGCUAUGGACGGAUGUCUGACGGAGCAACGCCGCGAGAGUGAAGAAGGUUUUCGGACCGUAAAGCUCUGUUGUUAGAAAAGACGUACCUUACUAGAGAGGGACGACUAACUACGUGCCAGCAACCGCGGUAAUUC
rnacentral:rRNA from 1 species